GCGACUAAGCGUACACGGUGGAUGCCCUGGCAGUCAGAGGCGAUGAAGGACGUGCUAAUCUGCGAUAAGCGCCGGUAAGGUGAUAUGAACCGUUAUAACCGGCGAUUUCCGAAUGGGGAAACCCAGUGUGAUUCGUCACACUAUCAUUAACUGAAUCCAUAGGUUAAUGAGGCGAACCGGGGGAACUGAAACAUCUAAGUACCCCGAGGAAAAGAAAUCAACCGAGAUUCCCCCAGUAGCGGCGAGCGAACGGGGAGGAGCCCAGAGCCUGAAUCAGCAUGUGUGUUAGUGGAAGCGUCUGGAAAGGCGCGCGAUACAGGGUGACAGCCCCGUACACAAAAGCGCAUGUGCUGUGAGCUCGAUGAGUAGGGCGGGACACGUGGUAUCCUGUCUGAAUAUGGGGGGACCAUCCUCCAAGGCUAAAUACUCCUGACUGACCGAUAGUGAACCAGUACCGUGAGGGAAAGGCGAAAAGAACCCCGGCGAGGGGAGUGAAAAAGAACCUGAAACCGUGUACGUACAAGCAGUGGGAGCACA
rnacentral:rRNA from 1 species